GAUGAACGCUGGCGGCGUGCCUAAUACAUGCAAGUCGAGCGAACGGACGAGAAGCUUGCUUUUCUGAUGUUAGCGGCGGACGGGUGAGUAACACGUGGAUAACCUACCUAUAAGACUGGGAUAACUUCGGGAAACCGGAGCUAAUACCGGAUAAUAUUUUGAACCGCAUGGUUCAAAAGUGAAAGACGGUCUUGCUGUCACUUAUAGAUGGAUCCGCGCUGCAUUAGCUAGUUGGUAAGGUAACGGCUUACCAAGGCAACGAUGCAUAGCCGACCUGAGAGGGUGAUCGGCCACACUGGAACUGAGACACGGUCCAGACUCCUACGGGAGGCAGCAGUAGGGAAUCUUCCGCAAUGGGCGAAAGCCUGACGGAGCAACGCCGCGUGAGUGAUGAAGGUCUUCGGAUCGUAAAACUCUGUUAUUAGGGAAGAACAUAUGUGUAAGUAACUGUGCACAUCUUGACGGUACCUAAUCAGAAAGCCACGGCUAACUACGUGCCAGCAGCCGCGGUAAUACGUAGGUGACAAGCGUUAUCCGGAAUUAUUGGGCGUAAAGCGCGCGUAGGCGGUUUUUUAAGUCUGAUGUGAAAGCCCACGGCUCAACCGUGGAGGGUCAUUGGAAACUGGAAAACUUGAGUGCAGAAGAGGAAAGUGGAAUUCCAUGUGUAGCGGUGAAAUGCGCAGAGAUGUGGAGGAACACCAGUGGCGAAGGCGACUUUCUGGUCUGUAACUGACGCUGAUGUGCGAAAGCGUGGGGAUCAAACAGGAUUAGAUACCCUGGUAGUCCACGCCGUAAACGAUGAGUGCUAAGUGUUAGGGGGUUUCCGCCCCUUAGUGCUGCAGCUAACGCAUUAAGCACUCCGCCUGGGGAGUACGACCGCAAGGUUGAAACUCAAAGGAAUUGACGGGGGCCCGCACAAGCGGUGGAGCAUGUGGUUUAAUUCGAAGCAACGCGAAGAACCUUACCAAAUCUUGACAUCCUUUGACAACUCUAGAGAUAGAGCCUUCCCCUUCGGGGGACAAAGUGACAGGUGGUGCAUGGUUGUCGUCAGCUCGUGUCGUGAGAUGUUGGGUUAAGUCCCGCAACGAGCGCAACCCUUAAGCUUAGUUGCCAUCAUUAAGUUGGGCACUCUAAGUUGACUGCCGGUGACAAACCGGAGGAAGGUGGGGAUGACGUCAAAUCAUCAUGCCCCUUAUGAUUUGGGCUACACACGUGCUACAAUGGACAAUACAAAGGGCAGCGAAACCGCGAGGUCAAGCAAAUCCCAUAAAGUUGUUCUCAGUUCGGAUUGUAGUCUGCAACUCGACUACAUGAAGCUGGAAUCGCUAGUAAUCGUAGAUCAGCAUGCUACGGUGAAUACGUUCCCGGGUCU
rnacentral:rRNA from 1 species